rnacentral:misc_RNA from 1 species
UAACCUUCCCCCAACCCCCCUCCUCCACACAAAGCAUACCCUUUCUUUUCGCCUUUCGCCACUCUGCCAUCAUGCGUGAGAUCGUUUCCUGCCAGGCCGGCCAGUGCGGCAACCAGAUCGGCUCUAAGUUUUGGGAGGUCAUUGCCGACGAACAUGGUGUCGAUCCGACGGGCUCCUACCAGGGCGACUCGGAUCUGCAGCUGGAGCGCAUCAACGUCUACUUCGAUGAGUCGACGGGAGGCCGCUACGUGCCGCGCGCCGUGCUGAUGGACCUCGAGCCCGGUACUAUGGACUCCGUUCGCGCCGGCCCGUACGGCCAGCUGUUCCGCCCGGACAACUUCAUCUUUGGUCAGUCCGGCGCUGGCAACAACUGGGCCAAGGGCCACUACACCGAGGGCGCGGAGCUGAUCGACUCCGUGCUUGAUGUGUGCCGCAAGGAGGCGGAGAGCUGCGACUGCCUGCAGGGCUUCCAGCUGUCUCACUCCCUCGGCGGCGGCACGGGCUCCGGCAUGGGCACGCUGCUCAUUUCCAAGCUGCGCGAGGAGUACCCGGACCGGAUCAUGAUGACCUUCUCCGUCAUCCCGUCCCCCCGCGUGUCGGAUACCGUUGUGGAGCCGUACAACACGACCCUCUCUGUGCACCAGCUCGUGGAGAACUCCGACGAGUCCAUGUGCAUCGACAACGAGGCGCUGUACGAUAUUUGCUUCCGCACGCUGAAGCUGACGACGCCGACGUUCGGUGACCUGAACCACCUCGUCGCCGCUGUGAUGUCUGGCGUGACCUGCUGCCUGCGCUUCCCUGGCCAGCUGAACUCUGACCUGCGCAAGCUUGCCGUGAACCUCGUGCCGUUCCCGCGCCUGCACUUCUUCAUGAUGGGCUUCGCGCCGCUGACGAGCCGCGGGUCGCAGCAGUACCGCGGCCUGUCCGUCGCGGAGCUGACGCAGCAGAUGUUCGACGCCAAGAACAUGAUGCAGGCCGCCGACCCGCGCCACGGCCGCUACCUCACCGCGUCCGCGCUGUUCCGCGGCCGCAUGUCGACCAAGGAGGUGGACGAGCAGAUGCUGAACGUGCAGAACAAGAACUCCAGCUACUUCAUUGAGUGGAUCCCGAACAACAUCAAGUCCUCCAUCUGCGAUAUCCCGCCCAAGGGUCUCAAGAUGUCCGUCACCUUCAUCGGCAACAACACCUGCAUCCAGGAGAUGUUCCGCCGCGUUGGUGAGCAGUUCACGGGUAUGUUCCGCCGCAAGGCCUUCCUCCACUGGUACACCGGUGAGGGCAUGGACGAGAUGGAGUUCACGGAGGCCGAGUCCAACAUGAACGACCUCGUCUCUGAGUACCAGCAGUACCAGGACGCCACCGUCGAGGAGGAGGGCGAGUACGACGAGGAGGAGGAGGCCUACUAGACAGUGUGUGGGUGAGGACGGUCAACGCGGAGAUGUCGGUUUACCUAUGUGUUUCCGCUAAGUGAAGUCGGCGUGGACACGUUUGCCUGGUAGUGAGUUCUGCUCGAGGCUACAUCCUGGCUUCGUUUGACGUUGGGGUGCACGGCAGCGAUGAGAGGGCUCGUCGUGGUCUCACUUCUCGUCUUUUCAGUGAAGUAUGUGUCGCUGCUCUUGUCGCACUCUGUGACUGUAUGCCUUUCGGCGAUGACUGUUAGGUGCGUUCUGCCGAUCGAGAGGGAAGGAGGACCACGUGGCGUUUGGUUUCUCGAGGCAUCCUCUUCUUGUUAGUGGUAGACAGCGAUCCGUAAAAUUCUGUACAGUCAUAGCGUCUCUGCUUUUCGCUGUAACGCCAGACGCAUGCACGCUGAUAAGCCGGUUGGUUGAGUUCAGGAAUGCUCUCUGUCGCUGCUGGCUCGUCUAGCCCUUUGCCAGGGCGCGCGCGCGCAUGUCUUUCUGUGCUCGUGUGUGCGCGCCUUCUCCUAUAACACACGCUGUACGAAAACACUUUUGUGUUUCUCUUUUUGUUUUUUUUUUGUUUUUUCUUUUCGUGCGUAUUCUGAAAUGGCCACGUGGAGCUAAGCAGGAAUGGGGCAAAAAUGAUGACGGUGUGGUCAUGGGUGGACGAGAGCAGCGAGCGGCGAUGAAGGCGGAAAGGGCUAGUGGUGUGUUUUAGUUGAAGAAAGUGCCCCCCUCCCCCUCCCCGCCUUCUCCCUUUUGAUGCCUCGGUGCGUUUGCGCAGCUUCCUCUCUCGCCGUAGCCUUUGCCGCGCUUUCGUCAACACGCAUCUGCCGAUCAGCGCUCCCGCAUACAGGGCCUGAUGCAAAGGGCUCGGUUCAAGUCGUAAAGGCCUCUCUCUCUUUCCAUAUAUAUCUGUCUCCGUGCGUGUUCGACGCUGAAGUUUCGCGGCUCUCUGCGCACGUGUGGUGGGUGCUCGUUACAGGGAGCACUGCCGCCGAGGCUCGUUGUGGCGCUGUUGAUCCGGCGUGUAUUUUUUUUUUGUUGUUUUCUUUAGCGAAAAAAAAACGAAAAAGAAAUGCAUGUGAGUCUUGUCCGUCCUUCUUGCUGUUGGUGCCUCGGUGCCUGCACGCCGGUGCGAGACUCACGCACCACCCCACCUCCCCCAAUGCACACGGAGAAGGGAAGAUGUAUGCACCGAGAACAUGCGUCAAAGGGAAAAAGGAUGACGCCCACACGCGCACGCACGCACGAACGGGGGGAAACGAGAGUCUACGCACGAGAGACAUGGGAAAGAGCAAGCGAAACGAAAACAGCCGGAACAGAGCGGUCUGGAAUGUAUGUAGACAAGUGACGAACACGAAACUGCCAAAGAGAGAAUAUACACAGCAGCCUACACUUAUACCCUGUAUAUAUGUGCAAAAGGAAUAUGUGCUGUCGGUUCCACGGUCAGUGCCGUGCCUAUUAUUCGCAUCUCUUAACACACGCACAGGACCUCGUUCUUUUCCGGCUGACUGCCCAGCCUCAGAUGGGCGCGUGGGGUGCCCGUCACCGAAGAAGGAGGGGCGACGGUUGGGGCGGGUGGAAAGAGAGAGUCCCUUUUCAUUGAAUGUGGGCCGAGAAAGGGUC